UUUGCCUUUUUUUUAGAUUAAAUUAUAAAAACUCUCUCAUAAAUAUUUUUUUUUUUUAAAUGUUUCCUCCCUUACACCUCAACAUUUUAAUUAUUACAUUUAACCUCCCCUCUAUCAGGAUUUCAUCACUAUUCCAUUCAUUUCUUAUAAUUUACUAGUUAACGAAACCGCGGGGUGCUGCGGGUAGUUAUUUUAAAAUUUAAUUUUAAAAAUUAGUUAUAAAAAUCAAUUUCAAAAUAAUUAUGAAAUAUUACGGACAAAUUACAAAAUAAUUUUAAAUAAAUAUAGUUAUCUUCCCUAAUAUAGAAAAUAUAAUGUGCUCUCUCAACAAUAAGAUAUUUUAAAAUAGUUCUUCAAUUUUAUUAAAUAUUUUCUUACCUUGUUCUCUUUUGUUUGAUUUGAUAUUACUAAUUUUGUAAGGUUAUCUAUCAUAUUUCUAAUAUUUUCAGGGAUAUGAAUAAAAUUAUUCCAUACUAAUUAUUCUAAACAUGACCGCAUGUCUAAGGGGCUGAAAAAUAAUAAAUGGUGCAAUAAGUACAUCAAAAAUUUUUAGUAGGCAUGAUAGGCCACCAUUAGUUAGUGAAAAAUUUUUAGUAGGUAUCGUAGUCCCCCAGUAGUUAGUGAAUAAGAAGAGAAAUCAUUGCUUGUGAUUCUCGCAAUUAACUUUCGUCAAAUAUAAAAUUAACUUAAGCUGCAUCUUUUUUUAUUUUUUAUUUUUUAAUAUACAAUUUAUAUGUGAAUGCUCAAUAUUAUAAAAUUAACAUUUAUAUCUAAUGUCAAUAGUCUAAAUUAUUUAACAUUUAUUUAUAUAUUUUAUAUUUUAUAAAAAUAAAUAGUAAAUUAUAUAAUAAAUUAUUAUAUAAUAAUAUAUCUAUAUAAAAAUAAAAUACUAUAUAUAA
rnacentral:lncRNA from 1 species